rnacentral:rRNA from 1 species
AAAUUGAAGAGUUUGAUCAUGGCUCAGAUUGAACGCUGGCGGCAGGCCUAACACAUGCAAGUCGAACGGUAACAGGAAGCAGCUUGCUGCUUUCGCUGACGAGUGGCGGACGGGUGAGUAAUGUCUGGGAAACUGCCUGAUGGAGGGGGAUAACUACUGGAAACGGUGGCUAAUACCGCAUAACGUCGCAAGACCAAAGAGGGGGACCUUCGGGCCUCUUGCCAUCAGAUGUGCCCAGAUGGGAUUAGCUUGUUGGUGAGGUAACGGCUCACCAAGGCGACGAUCCCUAGCUGGUCUGAGAGGAUGACCAGCCACACUGGAACUGAGACACGGUCCAGACUCCUACGGGAGGCAGCAGUGGGGAAUAUUGCACAAUGGGCGCAAGCCUGAUGCAGCCAUGCCGCGUGUAUGAAGAAGGCCUUCGGGUUGUAAAGUACUUUCAGCGGGGAGGAAGGUGUUGUGGUUAAUAACCGCAGCAAUUGACGUUACCCGCAGAAGAAGCACCGGCUAACUCCGUGCCAGCAGCCGCGGUAAUACGGAGGGUGCAAGCGUUAAUCGGAAUUACUGGGCGUAAAGCGCACGCAGGCGGUCUGUCAAGUCGGAUGUGAAAUCCCCGGGCUCAACCUGGGAACUGCAUUCGAAACUGGCAGGCUUGAGUCUUGUAGAGGGGGGUAGAAUUCCAGGUGUAGCGGUGAAAUGCGUAGAGAUCUGGAGGAAUACCGGUGGCGAAGGCGGCCCCCUGGACAAAGACUGACGCUCAGGUGCGAAAGCGUGGGGAGCAAACAGGAUUAGAUACCCUGGUAGUCCACGCCGUAAACGAUGUCUACUUGGAGGUUGUGCCCUUGAGGCGUGGCUUCCGGAGCUAACGCGUUAAGUAGACCGCCUGGGGAGUACGGCCGCAAGGUUAAAACUCAAAUGAAUUGACGGGGGCCCGCACAAGCGGUGGAGCAUGUGGUUUAAUUCGAUGCAACGCGAAGAACCUUACCUGGUCUUGACAUCCACAGAACUUUCCAGAGAUGGAUUGGUGCCUUCGGGAACUGUGAGACAGGUGCUGCAUGGCUGUCGUCAGCUCGUGUUGUGAAAUGUUGGGUUAAGUCCCGCAACGAGCGCAACCCUUAUCCUUUGUUGCCAGCGUUAGGUCGGGAACUCAAAGGAGACUGCCAGUGAUAAACUGGAGGAAGGUGGGGAUGACGUCAAGUCAUCAUGGCCCUUACGACCAGGGCUACACACGUGCUACAAUGGCGCAUACAAAGAGAAGCGACCUCGCGAGAGCAAGCGGACCUCAUAAAGUGCGUCGUAGUCCGGAUUGGAGUCUGCAACUCGACUCCAUGAAGUCGGAAUCGCUAGUAAUCGUGGAUCAGAAUGCCACGGUGAAUACGUUCCCGGGCCUUGUACACACCGCCCGUCACACCAUGGGAGUGGGUUGCAAAAGAAGUAGGUAGCUUAACCUUCGGGAGGGCGCUUACCACUUUGUGAUUCAUGACUGGGGUGAAGUCGUAACAAGGUAACCGUAGGGGAACCUGCGGUUGGAUCACCUCCUUA